UCCCUGGUGGUCCAGUGGUUAAGUCUCCAUGCUUCCACUGCGGGGGGCACAGGUUGAAUUCCUGUUUGGGGAA
rnacentral:tRNA from 1 species